UGAGGAAUAUUGGGCAAUGCCCGCCAGGGUGACCCAGCAACGCCGCGUGGAGGAUGAAUGUCGUAAGAUUGUAAACUCCUGUUAGAGGGGAAGAAUAGUACCGGUUGGACCGGUAUAUGACUGUACCCUCAGAGAAAGCCCCGGCUAACUACGUGCCAGCAGCCGCGGUAAUACGUAGGGGGCAAGCGUUGUCCGGAUUUACUGGGUGUAAGGGGCGCGCAGGCGGGAUAAAAAGUCUGUGGUGAAAUCCUACGGCUUAACUGUAGAACUGCCUUUGAUACUUUUAUUCUUGAGUUCUGGAGAGAGAGACGGAAUUCCAGGUGUAGUGGUGAAAUACGUAGAUAUCUGGAAGAACACCAGUUGCGAAGGCGGUCUCUUGGUCCGACACUGACGCUGAGGCGCGAAAGCGUGGGGAGCAAACA
rnacentral:rRNA from 1 species